GAUGAAGAACGCAGCGAAAUGCGAUACUUGGUGUGAAUUGCAGAAUCCCGUGAACCAUCGAGUCUUUGAACGCAAGUUGCGCCCGAAGCCAUUAGGCCGAGGGCACGCCUGCCUGGGCGUCACACGUCGUUGCCCCCCCAUCUACUCCUUCGGGAUUGCGGGGGGCGGAUGAUGGCCUCCCGUGCGCCUCGUCGCGCGGUUGGCAUAAAUACCAAGUCCUCGGCGACGCACGCCACGACAAUCGGUGGUUGCGAAACCUCGGUUGCCCGUCGUGUGCGGUCGUCGCGCAUCGAGGGCUCGAAAAAAUUGCCGGGCUCCGGCUCGGCUUUCAACGCGACCCCAGGUCAGGCGGGGUUACCCGCUGAAUUUAAGCAUAUCAAUAAGCGGAGA
rnacentral:misc_RNA from 1 species